CCUACGGGAGGCUGCAGUGGGGAAUAUUGCACAAUGGGCGCAAGCCUGAUGCAGCCAUGCCGCGUGUGUGAAGAAGGCCUUCGGGUUGUAAAGCACUUUCAGCGGGGAGGAAGGCGUUAAGGUUAAUAACCUUGGCGAUUGACGUUACCCGCAGAAGAAGCACCGGCUAACUCCGUGCCAGCAGCCGCGGUAAUACGGAGGGUGCAAGCGUUAAUCGGAAUUACUGGGCGUAAAGCGCACGCAGGCGGUCUGUCAAGUCGGAUGUGAAAUCCCCGGGCUCAACCUGGGAACUGCAUUCGAAACUGGCAGGCUAGAGUCUUGUAGAGGGGGGUAGAAUUCCAGGUGUAGCGGUGAAAUGCGUAGAGAUCUGGAGGAAUACCGGUGGCGAAGGCGGCCCCCUGGACAAAGACUGGCGCUCAGGUGCGAAAGCGUGGGGAGCAAACAGGAUUAGAUACCCGAGUAGUC
rnacentral:rRNA from 1 species